rnacentral:rRNA from 1 species
AUGCUGUUAAAACAUCUUGAUUUAUAUAUCAGCACACUCCGCCAGAAAAACUUGUCUCUGCAGUGUUCAAUUUUACCUGAAUGCUACUCCGACAUUUGGUGUCAUAUACAUUCCCUAAUGACGCUCCGAGAUGCUGCUCAUGCUGCCUGUUUGUCUCAUGCUUUUCUACGUUCCUGGAGAUGCCAUCCCAAUCUCAUAUUUGAUCAUGGAAUACUAUUCCAGUUGAGACAUGUCCUCGCCAGCACAGUGAAUCACAUUUUUGAAAAUCGCUCGGGCAUUGGUGUGAAGACACUCAAACUAGAUUUCUCCUGUUACCACGAGCCCAAGGCCUAUUCAUAUCUCCAUAGGUGGCUUCGGAUAGCUGUUACACCAGGCACUGAAAAACUUGUCGUUCUGUCUGCGAGUGAUGUAGCAUUCAACUUCCCAUGGUCAAUCCUAUCUGAUGGGAACGGAAGCACGAUCCGGCAUCUUCACCUUGUUGACUGUGGCUUCCAUCCUACAGUCAGUCUUGUUUGCAUGAGGAGCCUGACAGUGUUGCAUUUCGAUCGUGUGGCAGUUACGGGGGACGAGUUAGGGUACCUUUUCUCCAGCUGUGUUGCUUUGGAGCAGUUGAAACUCAGGAGAUGCUCCAAGAUAACUUGCUUGAAGAUACCUUUCGAGAUGCAGCGGCUCAGCUACCUGCAGGUGUCGGUAUGCCACAAACUGCGAAUGAUAAAGAAUGAAGCUCCAAAUAUUUGUAGUUUUGACUUUUUAGGUGACCGUAUAGAGAUCUCACUCGGAGAUUCACUGCGACUGAAGAACCUAGAUGUGCUGUGUAACAACGUCCUCCGUAAUGCACGUGAAGAGUUCCCAUCCAGUGCGCCGAAUCUUGAAACUCUUAGCAUAUUUUCACGUCACGAGGUAGCCAAUACAGCCAUGGCGUUCGCGCCUAGCAAGUUCCUCCACCUGAAGCACUUGAGUAUUUCUAUUGCAGUGGCCUACGAUUAUUUGUCUCUGGUUUAUUUUCUUGAUGCUGCUCCGUCCUUGGAGACGUUCAAACUGCAUGUACUGAUAGGGUUGCGACCCGCCGAUGAACUGCGUUUGGAAGAUCCCUCACAUCUUCGGCAGAUUCCAGGAUACCGACAUGACAAGCUUCGGAGUGUGAAGAUCUCUACGUUCUACUCUUCAAAGGGGAUGGUUGAGCUGGUGUCCCACGGAUUGUAG